rnacentral:rRNA from 1 species
AUGAAGGGUUUGAUCCUGGCUCAGAAUGAACGCUGGCGGCGUGGAUUAGGCAUGCAAGUCGAACGCGAAAGUGGGUCUUCGGAUCCACGAGUAGAGUGGCGAAAGGGUGAGUAAUGCUUGGACGACCUGCCCCAGAGACGGGGAUAACAGUUCGAAAGGACUGCUAAUACCCGAUGGUCCGACCGGAUAAGCCGGAUCGGUAAAUGGUGCUUCCGCUCUGGGAGGGGUCCAAGUCCUAUCAGCUUGUUGGUGAGGUAACGGCUCACCAAGGCAAUGACGGGUAGCCGGACUGAGAGGUUGGCCGGCCACAUGGGAACUGAGACACUGUCCUGACUCCUACGGGAGGCUGCAGUCGAGAAUCUUCCGCAAUGGGCGAAAGCCUGACGGAGCGACGCCGCGUGCAGGAUGAAGGCCCUCGGGUCGUAAACUGCUGUCACAUGUUAAGAAACCUACAGGUUUACCUGUAGCUGACGAAGGCAUGAGAGGAAGUCACGGCUAACUUCGUGCCAGCAGCCGCGGUAAGACGAAGGUGGCUAGCGUUAUUCGGAUUCACUGGGCAUAAAGAGCGCGUAGGCGGCUUGGUCAGUGGGAGGUGAAAGCCCGGAGCUCAACUCCGGAAUUGCCCCC